UACGUAGGGGGCAAGCGUUGUCCGGAUUUAUUGGGCGUAAAGAGCGUGUAGGCGGCCUGGAAGGUCAGCUGUGAAAACUCGAGGCUCAACCUCGAGACGUCGGUUGAAACCACCUGGCUAGAGUCCGGAAGAGGAGAAUGGAAUUCCCGGUGUAGCGGUGAAAUGCGCAGAUAUCAGGAGGAACACCAAUUGCGAAGGCAGCUCGCUGGGACGUAACUGACGCUGAGACGCGAAAGCGUGGGGAGCAAACAGG
rnacentral:rRNA from 1 species